UGGAGCCAGUGUGGAUCCAGCAAGCUUUCAAAGGCCAAGAACAUACACGUUAUGCUGUUGGAGCACAGCUCUGGUAACAGAGAUGCCUGCAAAAAAUAAAAAGAGAAAAGGAUCAAGCAUAUUAAGAUGUCUUUUGGAAGCCACUGAUGGGAGUCCCUCUGGAGAGCCACAGAAGAACAAUUUGUUCAUCCAGCAUGGAGGUAAUGGGGACAGUAUUGGUAUUGCCAUUUUGUUCAUGGGAUUCAUAGGCUGAAAG
ensembl:lncRNA